CACUGGUCCCCUCGCAACGAUAAGCCGCGAACCCCGCCAGGUCCGGAAGGAAGCAACGGUAGUGGUGGACUCGUGUGCCGGGGUGUGGCUAGUGGGA
rnacentral:SRP_RNA from 1 species